rnacentral:lncRNA from 1 species
GCCUCCUCUGCGGAGAGCGGCGAGGCCGGCCCGAGGCGGGCGCCGAGCGCGGAGCGGAGGGGGGCCCGAGGGAGGCGGGGGUGGAAUCAGCCCAAUUCCCGAGGCUGGCUCCGAGGGGGACCCGGAAUACAGGCUGGCGGGGGGCCGGCGGGGGCCGAGCUCCCGGAGGAGGGGAAGGCGGAGGUGGCCCCGUCCUUGGGCAUCAACUAUUGUCUAGGCGCCCGGGCCCCCGCUCGCGCCGUCCCCGAGGCUCAGCGCCCCCAUCCCGCCCGCCAGCAGAAAGAACUGAGGGGGCGGCCAGUACGGGAAGCAAGUGCGGGGGUCCGGGCUCCGAAGGUCCAAGUCUCGGGUGAGAUCACCACGGAGCGGCUUAGCGCGGCGCACAAGUCUCGCGAGAGAAGCGGCGGCUGGGCCCUGCAGGCGGAGGAAGUGGAAAAAGUCGCGGGAGGGUAGGGGACCGCGGAACUUCUGGUUGCUAUGACGACGGCAAAGCCCUGGAUUCCUGUCUCCUGCGGAGAGCAGAGGCUGCAAACGCAUCCGCAGACGCCUUUAUACGUACUCCAAAAUGCUAGUAAGGAUGAAGAUGAACUCUCCUCAGCCCGUGUCUUUUAACUGUAGAAACUUUUCUGAGACUAGUCUCACUCUGUUGCCCAGGCUGGAGUGCAGUGGCGCGAUCUCAGCUUACUUCAGCCUCCGCCUCCCGGUUUCAAGUGAAUUCUCCAGCCUCAACUUCACAAGUAGCUGGGAUUACAGCCACUUUUUAUCUUCUCUCCUGCAAUCCAACCCACAUAAUUUCCAUGAAGAAAGCGGAGUGGUGUCAUUUUACAACAAGAAAACUGAGUUAAGAAUAAGUCCAAUCAAUUGCUAGGUGUUGAGACUGAAAUGGAAGUCUCUUAGUACUCCACCCAAGGAUUUUCAUAUUAAAC